AUCAUUUUCUUUAGUGUUAUGCAAAUUAUUUGUAAAACGACAAAAUUCAUCAACGAGAGUCUUCUACGGAAAAUAAUAUUCAAAAUCAUGGUCUUCGCUUUUCUAAAUAAAGAAGAUUUUUUUUGAAGAAUUCCAAAUUUUCGGAUUCGCAGAUGAACCCAAACACAUUGAAACAUUGGCUUAAUCGUGGUGAAAUCGAAAAACUCGAACAUGUCGUUUUGGAAGGUAGAGGAGCACGUUUAUUGGGAGAACGUUCACCGGAUCUUAGAACAAGAGUUUUUCUUAAAGGACUACCAAAUUACUUGACAAAAAUUUCCCAAAUGCAUGAUGCUGUGACUCGAGGAUCAUUAUUAGAAUGCCAAAAACUUAUAGCAGAAGAGCCAAAGAAGAAAUUUCCUUUAGCGAAAGAUUCAACGGGAACUCCUUUAUUACACAAAGCAGUUUAUUAUGAUCAUCAGGAUAUUGUAGAGUGGCUUAUUCAACAAUUUCCUGCCACUGUUCAUCAAAAAGACAGAGAAGGAAGAUCAGCUUUACAUUAUUGUGCAGCUUGCAGAGAUCCCGAUUCUGUUUGGGAUGUAUUGAUAGAAGCUGAUUGUGACGCAAGUAUUUGUGAUAAAAAAGGAAAUCCUGCUGCUUAUUAUUUGGAUCAUCAAUCUGAACUUGAAUUACCAGAAACCGAGAGAAUGAACAGCAGAAAGAUAGCCAGUCACAAAGAAAGACGAAGAAGCCGCUUAAAAAAUAACUCCGACAAUCAUGAACAACCCUUAACUGAAUUUCCGAAAAACAAUUUAGAUUUCAAACCAUCAAACAUAAGAAUAUGGAUUCACAAUAAGGAUAUUGGAAAAUUACAACGAGUCUUAUGGGAGGGUCACGGUACAAAACUUCGAUGUGAAACAAGUAAUAAUCCUCGAGUUAAGAAAUUUUUGGAAGCUGUACCAUUUAUAAUGGGAACAAUAAAAGAAAUUCACGCCAGGACGAUAAAAAAUGAUAUCGAAGGUUUCAAGAGAAAAAUUGCUGAGCCAGUGUCACCAAUAAUUCUUUGUAGCAAGGAUGGAAAUGGACUUAAUGUUCUUCAUAAAGCAGCUGGUUUGGGACACGUUGAAAUAGUUAAAGAAGUUUUGGAUUUGUAUCCAGCUGCAGUUCUUGCGGUAGACAAUGAUGGAAAAACUCCUUUACAUUAUGCAGCUGCAGCAAAAGACGAAGGAUUAAUGUACAAUUUACUCGUGGAAUUCGGAGCCGAUGAGGGAAAAGUCGAUAAUAAAUUUAAGGCCGCUGCUUUUUAUAAAAAUCGACCAUCCGAUGUUGAUAUGUCAGCACUUUUGAUUGUUCCCGAUGCCCCACGUGUUUCUGGGACAUAUCCAAAAAAUUGGGAUUGGAGAAUAUUGGAAACAGAUGAUAAUGUUAUUCGUGAUAUGAGAAAAUCCACGUCAAAAAUAGCAGAGAUCGCUGAGAUUGACGAGACCUUUGAUAAUGUUGAAUCGCCAACAAAAAUGAAAAAUGGCACACAUAAAAGAGAUUUGGUGAAACAGACUGAGCCCGAGACGAAGGAGGUUGAGGAAGUUGCUGCACCAAAAUCACCAGAUGAAGAUAAAGAGGAAAUAAAUAAAUCUCCAGAAUUUCAAUCGCCAGAACAAGGAUCACCAUUACCUGAGAAUGAUACAGAAAAUAAUGAGGAAUCAAAUGAGAUUGAUAAUAAUUUAGAGGAAAAUGAGGAAAGUACCAUUGAAAUUGAAAAAAAUGAUGAAAUUAUUGAAAAUGAGGAAAAUUUGGAAAAUACGGAAAACAUUAAUGAUGAUUUUAAUAAUAUUGAGAAAGAAAAUAAUGAAAUUGUAAAUACAGAACAAGAGGAAAGAACUGAUGCAAGUACUGGCGAUUCUGGUGUUGAUGAUCCAGCAAAUGAUGAUUUUCAAGUAAUUCUUGGUGAGCAUGAGGAUCUUCAGGAAUCGGAUGCCAAUGAAAAUGGAUUGGAGGAAGAAGAAACAGAUCCAGAAAUUGAACAAUUAACACAAACGGGAAAUAUGGAACAACUCGCUGAACUUGUACUCAAUGGCGAAGGCAGAAGACUCAUGGGAAGGCAGACCAGCAAUCCAGAACUUCAAUCAUUCAUUGACAAUGUUCCUGCAUUUAUGGGAAAAAUUCACGCGGUUCAUAUGGCAGCACGAGAAGGAAAUUUAAGAGACUUACAAAGUGCACUUGAUCGUCGUAAAUUUGCAAUCGCAAGGGACGAAUCAUCACCGAGAGGUGCAACUGCAUUACACGUAGCUGUAAUUUUUGGACACACUACCAUAAUUAGAUAUUUUGCUGGUCGAUUUCCCGAGACAGCGAAUGCUGUUGAUCUCGAUGGAAGAACACCAUUACAUUAUGCAGCAACACUUGCCGACAAUGGACAUUAUUUUAAUCUUCUCGUACAUUUGGGGGCAAAUCCACAAAUUCAAGAUAAUUUGGGUCAUAAGGCUGAAUAUUAUAAACAAAAUCAAGAAGAAUUGUCGCAUAAAAAAUUAUUACGCAGUUUUGGAGCUCAAGAAAGUCUUGCCGAUGAAAUGUUAACUGAUAAAGUUCCUGGUGGUGACAAGUAUUCAGCACGUCGUGAUGUGACCGAACCGGAAAUCCUGACAACACUUGAACGAUGUUUCCGUAUAUUGGCAGGUUCGAGACGUGGCUCAUUACCAAAUACACCGGCAAAAGCUGGCAAUUUAUUAAGUCGUUGCUUAAAACGGCCUGUAUUCGAACGACUCAAGCACCGUGUGACAUGCAUGGAUCACAAUCUUUUAGACGUGAUUUGGCCCGCUCUAAAAAUACAUGACAAUAAUAAAUUAUUAAAUUCCAAUGAUUUAAUGAUGAAUAAUUUUAGUAAUCAUCGACCACCGUCGUCAACAAUUCACGAUGAUGAUUUAGCAAUAAAUGUUGUUGCUCCCGAUUAUGAGAGUUAUAUUGUUUUUCAAGAAUUUUUUGAUCCACUUAUACGUGAAAUUCAUUGUCUCACAGCAACUGGCGAACUUCCCGAUCAUCCUAUAUCAAAUUUCUUCAGUAUGUCCGAUAAGGAGCGCGUGGAUAAUAUUGAUCAAAAUGUAAAAUUAAUACAAAAUUCAGAUCUCGAUUCAUCGGGGAAAUAUAUUAUUUCAGGUGUUAUUGAAUGUAGUAGAAAUUUGGGAAAAUAUCCACUGCCAUUGAAUCUUACAAUCAAUCAAUUGGAAAAUAGUGAAAGGGAAAUAACAUCAGUUUUAAUGAGACAAGAAUUAUCAGGUGUUCUUGCCGAUGGAUCAAGUGAAGAUGAACCCGGUACUUAUUAUACAUUAAUUGAAGUUAUUGAGAGACCAAGCGAUGUUCGUGUUCGUUUAGCUGCUGCUGGAUUACUUGCACCAAUUACUGAAAUUGAAGAUUUAGAUGAAAAACGUUUACAUGGAAAACAUUGGCCCUAUGGACGUGGUGUUUAUUUGGCAGCCGCUGGUAAUUUAGCAAUAUGGGUCAAUGUACAGGAUCAUAUUAGAGUUAUUUGUUCGACAAGUGAAACAAAACCGGGAAAACUUGGUAAAAUUUAUGUUCGUAUGGCAAAAUUAAUGAAUGUCAUGGAUCAACGUUUAAUAUUUAAACGUGAUAAAAAAUUAGGUUUUCUUAGUUCACGACCAACAUCAAUUGGUAAUACAUUAAGAAUUCAUUUAGGAGUAAAAUUUGCCACAUUAUCAAAAGAUCCGGGAAAUUUAAAAAAUCUUUCCAUUGUCCGUGGACUUGAAUGUAAAGAGACAAUACGACGAAAUAUUUUUGUUCUUAGCAAUCAACAGAGUUUAUCAAUAACUGAACUUCAAACAUUACAAGAUUUUUGUCGUGCCGCGCUCAAUGUACUUUCCGUCGAGAAGGAAAUGACACUUAAUAAUAAUUCAAUGAAAAUUGCCAAUGUAAUCUCGAGUAUUUUUCGUAAACGAAAAUCAAGUUCUCACAUCUCGGGAUAAAAUAUGCUCAAUAUUUUACGCUUUUAUAAUUAUUAUAAUUAUAAUAGAAUUAAUUUAAGAAACAAAUUUUCUUCUCUAACUGCCAAUUUAUUUUUCAUUAAUAUUUUUCAUAAAAAAAAAAAAAAGAAUCUUAUCUCAAAAUAAUUUCAUUGGAUAUAUAAUAUUAAAAUUGUGAAAAUUAUUAAGACAAAUUAAAACUGAAGGAAUAUUUAAAAAAUUUUUGAAGAAUUAUUGUGAAUGAGAAUAAUUGAACAAAAUUAGAGUAAUCGAUGUAAUGAAUCAUAAUUUAGACUAAUUUAAUUGAUUUUUUUUUAUUAAUAUAAACUGAAUUGUAUUAAUCUCAAAGAAACUUUUCUGUGAUAAAAUAUGGAACGAUUUUCGUUGAUUAAAAAUAAGAAAAAAAAAAAAGGGAAAACGAGGCUGUUCAGUUGGAAAGAUGUGUGAUAAAAACUCAGGAUUCAAUAUGUUACAACUCUCUUUUAAAAUGGCUUGUUUUUGGAAUUAUCUUCCGGGAGAGACGUCUCAACUAGGAAACAAUGAAAAAGAUCUUCCUGUUUUUGAUACUGAUGAUGAACGCUACUUAGCUGACUCCCUUGGAAAUCCUUUAUUGAAAGGAUUAACGGAAGUGGUUAAAUCACGUCCAGAAGAUCCG